CCUCUCCUAACACAGGGAACACACACAUCACACUUGUCUCUACCCAAGCAGCCAUGCUGCUUUUUCUUAUCUAUGAGACUAAACGUUUUUUUUAAAGCAAAGUCUGGAAAGUAUGUGGAGUGAUUGUGGUUGUGGUUUACUGUCUCUCGCAGAUUCUCUGCGUUCUCUCUUUGUCUCUGUUGAAGAGAAUAAUCUACGGUGUCAUUAUCUUCUGAUGGAUGUUUUCCAGGAGCUUUGUCCUCUCAGGUGACCUGUUCUGUAAUGCACCCUGGGCUGUAGCUUACCAGCACUUCUGUCUUAAAGACGUCCCAACCAGUUCCCCUCAGUGAGAAACCCCUGCAUUAAGAGUCGUUAUAAAUCCAUUUGUUUAUACAAUAAAUAAAAUAAAUGGUCAUGUAUUGUAUAGGCCAUUGAAAUACAACCUAAUGAAUUCUCUAUGACUUGUUUCUUCCCCAAGCCUGUGGCGAGCUUCUCCUGUUCCUCUCUGCCCCAGCGUGCUCCAAUGGACGCCUCAAGUCAACUAUUCUCUUACACUCAAAAACAAUCUGAAGGUAGUUUGAUUACUUGCCAAAAUUCCAAGCAGCAGAUUUAGAUAAUUCUAACUAGUAGAGUGCUACCCGGUUAGGCAAAAGCUGUAAUGUCACUGCCAAGGUUUGAUUCUGGGCCGGGACAUUUCCUGUUUGUAUUUUACUCUGUCUCUCCUUACUUUCGUGUCUCUUUCAAUGUAAGAAAAAAGAAGACCCCCCCCCCAAAAAAAGAAAACUGUUUUUUAAACUGUUCCACGUGUUAGCAAAUACUGUUUGGCUUCAGUUGGAAGAAGGAAAUUACAGUAGUUACUUGGAAAUAUGACACAUCAUCAAAAUAUGUCUGAUGGCCAAUUAUAUUGACAAGGUCUGUACUUUUAGUUCCUUUUUCAGUUUAAUAGGGUGUCACCUCUGCCAGGUCAUGGUAUGAUCUGACAGAGGGUUUAACCACAGACAGAGGUCUGCAUGAUGAUUCGAACAUGCUUGCAUUCUCUCUUGACAGUGUUUUGAAGGUUUUGAUAGGUUCACCAGGGGGGAAACGUUUAAAUGUUACACCCCUUUGUCCCCCUUGGGAGAAUAGACUGUUCACAGGAAAACCACAAAAAUACAUCUUUGGUUUCUACCACAACGCAGAAUUAAAAAUAAUAGUUUAAUCCAUUCUUGCGUCCAUUACUUCAGCUUGUCUGUCUCCAGGUGUCAAAUAGUUCUGUAAUAAGCGUUCAUUGUUUUCACAAACAAGCUUAUAGUUGAUCAAUCAAGUAAAUAAAAACAAGAAAUAUAAUAAAUAAAAUAACUUAGAAUAUUAAAUAGGCUUUUAGAUUCAACUGUUUAAUUUAAUGUAAAUACAUAUUUUGUAGAGUCCUCUCAGUUCUUUUAAAUCCCCAGUUCUGGAUUUCCUGGAGAGUUUUUGAAGCCCUUUUUCACAAGUGUCUGUCUGAAAUGUGGUUUCAACACACGCUCAGGAAACAGUGUAAUCCCCUGGUCUCAAAGCGAUAUACAAUAACGUUACGAGGUUCUAAUCCCAGGAAGUAGGACUGUGAGGAAAGGCUUUUGUUCCAGCAACAAAAACUCCUUUGACGGUUUUGUUAUUUUACUCCAUCUGGCAGGGGAUGGACGGCGAGUUUCACCAGAGGGGAACUGACGGUGCAGGUGAAGUAAUACUGUUUUAUUGUUUCCAUUAGCUCCAUUUAAAGUGGAUUGAGACAUGUUUAAAUAUGUCAUCCUUUAGAUAAAUAACUGCAGGGCAAGAGAGAAUAACUGCGACUCAGAUGACCGGAGAGAGAGAGUGUGUAAUAGUUGUGCAGCAUGGCAGAGUAGAGACCAUAAGCCCUAAAAAAGCGAUGAGAUGAGAUAGCUGGUGGAUUGUAUGGCUGCUCAGAGAAAAUUGUUAUUUAAGUAGAUCAAUCUUUUAUUUAACAAGAAGAUUUUAUUUGACAAAGAAAGCCUUUCUAACCCAGUGGUGAACAGGAGAGGAUUGAAUAGGA